UUAAAUAAAAAGUUAAGAAAAGUGAAAAAUAUUUUUGGAUAAUUUUAUGGACGAAGAAAAUAUUUUAAAUAAGAAAAAGAAAUAUGAAAAUGGAAGGAUUAAUGGUAAUGAACAUGGUAAGCAAGUGCGGAUAUAUCAAAACAUGGCCAUGGAAGAGAUGAUUACCUAAUGGAAAAUAGAAGUGGAAUGGAAUCUGAUAUGUGAUGAAGCUUUGCCUCCUUGCCACGAAAUU
rnacentral:lncRNA from 1 species